UGAAAAGCCCAGAGAUGGUGGGCACAGUGA
rnacentral:piRNA from 1 species